AGCUCAGUUGGUAGAGCACUGGUCUCCAAAACCAGGUGUCGGGAGUUCGAGUCUCUCC
rnacentral:tRNA from 1 species